rnacentral:rRNA from 1 species
AGCAUGUGGUUUAAUUCGAAGCAACGCGCAGACCCUUACCAACCCUUGACAUGGAUAUCGAGAUUUCUGGAGACAGAUUUCGUCAGUUCGGCUGGAUAUCACACAGGUGCUGCACGGCUGUCGUCAGCUCGUGUCGUGAGAUGUUCGGUUAAGUCCGGCAACGAGCGCAACCCACGUCCUUAGUUACCAGCAUUUAGUUGGGUACUCUAGGGAGACCGCCGGUGAUAAGCCGGAGGAAGGUGUGGAUGACGUCAAGUCCUCAUGGCCCUUACGGGUUGGGCUACACACGUGCUACAAUGGUAGUGACAAUGGAUUAAUCCCCAAAAGCUAUCUCAGUUCGGAUUGGGGUCUGCAACUCGACCCCAUGAAGUUGGAAUCGCUAGUAAUCGCGUAACAGCAUGACGCGGUGAAUACGUUCCCGGGCCUUGUACACACCGCCCGUCACACCAUAGGAAUUGGGUCUACCCGAAGGUGGUGCGCCAACCUACUUGUAGGAGGCAGCCAACCACGGUAGGUUCAGUGACUGGGGUG